rnacentral:rRNA from 1 species
GGAUAGGAUUUUUUUCCUUUCAUGGGGAGAUGAUUGAAAAGAUGGUUUUCGGCUAUCACUUACAGAUGGGCCCCGCGGUGCAUUAGCUAGUUGGUGAGGUAACGGCUCACCAAGGCAACGAUGCAUAGCCGACCUGAGAGGGUGAUCGGCCACGCUGGGACUGAGACACGGCCCAGACUCCUACGGGAGGCAGCAGUAGGGAAUCUUCCGCAAUGGACGAAAGUCUGACGGAGCAACGCCGCGUGAGUGAUGAAGGCUUUCGGGUCGUAAAACUCUGUUGUUAGGGAAGAACAAGUACGAGAGUAACUGCUCGUACCUUGACGGUACCUAACCAGAAAGCCAC